AGGAAAGCUUCAUCCUUCAAACGAAUGCAACAUCAUUCCCAACAAUCCGAAAUAGGAUUCACCCGUAUUCGAAUGAUUGCUGCAACUGAAUGACAAGUCACGACGAAAUCGAAUGAUUACGAAUUGAAUGCCAUCUCUCAAUCACGACGCUUCCCGGAUGAACCAUCAUUCGGAAAACAAGUGAGAACAAAUCGAACGAGAAUCCUCUUCGAACUGAAUGAUGAUUGCAUCAUGCGUGCCCCACAACGCAUAUCAGUCAGUUCACAUAAGCAUCUCCCGUUGGUAAUCGGAUGUUGUUACACACACCCCGCGUGCGCGGAUCAAGCUUGUUGCUGAUCGAGUUUCGGCAGCCAUUGUUAGUAGUAACCAAAGUAGAAAGUGCGUAAUUUGAGAAGCUCAAAUCAUAAUUGCAAAAUUUUUGAGGAAGUUUUUAAUUUGCAGUUUCAGUGAAGGCGACAUAGCUGCAGUGAAGAUUCGCCAUCCCAAUUGUCAUUGCCUUGUCCAAAAUGGCAACUGAACGGAACUCCCUAGAUUCAGCGCACUGCAAACGAUGGUCAGCGAUUUCCUGAACCUCGCCCUGGAUUAAUUAGUGCAAAACAUUUUUUAUUGUUAUUUUAUUUUAUUUUAUUAUUGAAGUCUCGCGUCUUCAAUAUAAAAGGCCUAAUAAUGUAUUAAUAAAAAAAACUAAACCUACUGUA